rnacentral:rRNA from 1 species
UACGAAGGGGCUAGCGUUGCUCGGAAUCACUGGGCGUAAAGCGCACGUAGGCGGACUCUUAAGUCGGUGGUGAAAUCCUGGAGCUCAACUCCAGAACUGCCUUCGAUACUGAGAGUCUCGAGUCCGGGAGAGGUGAGUGGAACUGCGAGUGUAGAGGUGAAAUUCGUAGAUAUUCGCAAGAACACCAGUGGCGAAGGCGGACUCACUGGCCCGGUACUGACGCUGAGGUGGCGAAAGCGUGGG